rnacentral:misc_RNA from 1 species
AAUCAUCAAAACCCUUUUCUUUAAGGGAUUUUUGGACUUGGAGGUUUCAUGCUAGCUUUCAAGCUUUUGAAAGCGAGCUCCUCUCAAAUGAAUUAGUGGGGUCUGCUUUGCUGGUCCUAGACGUGAUAAAUAUGUUUCUACGUUUUGGAUCGAGCACUGUGUCUUUGGACGCCUGCUUCUAACUGUCCCCCUGGACGACGAUGGUGCUCCGGUCACCGCCAUCUAUAUUGGUGAGGGGCUGGACCCACAAGAAAAAA